GACGAACGCUGGCGGCGUGCUUAACACAUGCAAGUCGAACGGAAAGGCCCUGCUUUUGUGGGGUGCUCGAGUGGCGAACGGGUGAGUAACACGUGAGUAACCUGCCCUUGACUUUGGGAUAACUUCAGGAAACUGGGGCUAAUACCGGAUAGGAGCUCCUGCUGCAUGGUGGGGGUUGGAAAGUUUCGGCGGUUGGGGAUGGACUCGCGGCUUAUCAGCUUGUUGGUGGGGUAGUGGCUUACCAAGGCAUUGACGGGUAGCCGGCCUGAGAGGGUGACCGGCCACAUUGGGACUGAGAUACGGCCCAGACUGCUACGGGAGGCAGCAGUGGGGAAUAUUGCACAAUGGGCGGAAGCCUGAUGCAGCAACGCCGCGUGCGGGAUGACGGCCUUCGGGUUGUAAACCGCUUUCGCCUGUGACGAAGCGUGAGUGACGGUAAUGGGUAAAGAAGCACCGGCUAACUACGUG
rnacentral:rRNA from 1 species